CAUAUGGAUUUACUAAUCCAACCCUGGGGAACCAACCUCUCCCUCUAGCAUUUGAGAAGCAGCUUUGAUGUGUAGUGGCCUCAGAUGUUGGGUGAGCUUCCACGAGAUUGCUUUUGGACCACAGAGGAUUUCAGGGAAUGGUUCCUUAGUUUCGUCCCCCAAAAGCCGUGAGUCCCCACCUCUGCUCAGCACCUUUUGGCCUCAGUGCUGCCAUUGGGGGCACAGCAUCGAUUAUCCAGAAAGCAUCACUCACUGACUCAGACCGGCGGGGCAGGUUCAUCUGCACAAUAAAAUGUUCUGUGAAGGGAAUCGUUCGGAAACGUCCUCCUUCCACCCACAAACAGCAAUGUGUGGGCGAUGCGAAGGUCCCUGGGGGGUCUAUCUGCUGUAAUCACAAAGUCAGAAUUAUUUAUAAUAAGAUAAUUGCUUCUGUAGCCAAGAGGAUGCUCCUAAAGUGUUUUGAGAUGUAUUUUCCCUAAAUAAUAACGACAUUGAUUUGCUUAGUAGUAAAUUCCUCUCUUUGUAGAAGACGCUGCAUCUGCUGCCCAGUUUGUCUGAUUGAGUAAAUAUUUCAAAUCUGUGCGAUAGUUAAUGAAGGUUGAUUUAUUUUUUCCUUAGAUGCCUAGAAUGGAUAAGCUGGAACUUCUACAUUUCCAUACCCCUUAAAAAUGACUGCUUCUGACUGAAAAUGUAAAUUUGAUUAUUGUUUUUACCGAACUAAAAAUGCUAAGUGGAGUCUAUUUCUCAUCUCUUUACACCUUUGGUGUGGAAUUGACAGUACAAUGACAGGAAAACCCCACAAGGACCCACCUUGUCAGGGUCUGAAUAUGAGACACAGACUCUUAGAUUUUUGUUCAGUUAUGAUGCUGACCUAAUGAUUGUAUUCAUACAUGUGGUAACAGUAGAUGGGGGGGGAGGGGGUCUUGCAUUUGAGAAUGUGCUUUUACUUGCUCUGAUUUAUCCAGGUUACUUAAUGAAAUGUUCCUAUUUUAAUGAUUGGAAAGUUUCCCCUGCCGUACGCAAUCUAACCUGUAUCUGUGCUAUUUUCCUUUCAUUUUUCUGCUAUUUGUUAAAAUGUAUUUGGAUUCGGCAAUCUGUGGAUUGUAUUUUCUGGUGAGUGGUGUUUAUUAACUCUCCAUGUAGCAUUUCAUGCCCUGUAGGUGCUGAGUCUUGUUUGGUCUCGUGUGACACCACUAGGAAGCUUGUCCUUAACAUGUUCCUGGACGUAGAGGCUCAGUUUAUAGACCUGAGAGGAUUGAGGUCAGGGUAUUUAAGAGGCUUUCCUGGGAGGGAAAAUCUUGCCAACUUCCCUGAUUUGAGUUGCUGGGCGUUUGAUCCAAUCAGACUCAACUUCCUGUGCCUGGAUGUCCCCAUCCCACUGCCCUGCACAGCUGCACUAUCAGCCAUCCAGCCUAUGAGAUGAAGCAGACUCUGGGCAGAAGCAACCCUGAAAAUGAGGUCUAACUACACAGGAGCAGGACAGAGCAAACUUCAGUCAGAACCUUGUGGAAGGAGACUGUUCUGGAAACAGCCCUGUGCCCAACACAGAGCUGCUGGGACUCCAAUAGAAAGGGAGGUCUUGGGCAGCAGAUGAGACCCCAAUACAUCCAAGUCCCUGAGAUCCUGGCCACUUAGGUAUUCCAUGAAUGCUGUUACUCACGUGGCUCUCUUGGCACAAUCUCAAGUUCAUAAGCCCUGGCUGAACAGGUGGACCUGUUUCUGAGUAAGCAGUGUUUCACUAGACUGCAUGAAAAAUCUCCUCUGCUCUGGGAAUACAAUGGUAUUUGUCUGUAAUAUACUUAGAAAGUACCUUUUUUUUUCCUAGUAGAGACUGGGAUAAAUGUUUUGCUUCUUCCUGUGAGGGUGUUAAAUAUGCUGACAUGUAAUGGGCUGUCAUUUAAUUUUAAAGGCAAGGAAAACACGCAUUCCCAAAAGUGCUUCAUUUGGGAGAAAAAGGCCUGGAAAAAUGGACCUUUAGCCUUUUCUUUUUUUACAUAAAGGACCCCUUUUGGGGAAUCUGAGAGCUCUGGAUCCUUCUCCCUGAAAAUGCCCACUCCACCUGGCUCACAAUUUCUGAGUGCACUGAGAGCCUCUGAAAGCCCGUCCAUAACUAAGAACCUAAUCCCACGAGUGAUUCUAGAGUCCACUUCUUCACUUCCUCAGUCAUGAGCAUAUUGGAAUCACCCUGAGUCUAAAUACCGAGGAGAGACGGACGUCAGUGUACGUGGUAGCUACUGUUGAGCAUGCGAUCUUUGGUACCGACGUUUCCCUCCACAGUGAAUCUCGCCAGAGAUUAGGCUCUGGUGGGACCUCUGCUUUGUUUCACCGCCUUCUUCGGUCCCCCUUCAAGUGUGCAAGUGAUUGUGCCCCCGGGGGAGUCUCUAGAAAAUGCUGCUCAACCUGUGGGAAGUCCUCCUUACUGGUAGAACGUUUGUUCAUGUCCUCACAUUAUUACCCUGAGGAUGACAGUGAGAAAUUGAAAUCUGUGUGGCUUUAUUCUAGUGAAGCCCUUUCUCUUUGAAAUAUGUGUAUACUUUAUAUUUUUAGGCAUUUUUCCUUCAGUCUUGAUUUCCCAAAUAGCCAUCCUGUGGCACACUGUCAUUAACAUAACUCUGGGCGAUAAUGUGCUCAAAGUGGAAUUCAGGUAGCUAGCUGAGCGGCCAUAACUGUAUUCGACCUGAAGAGGCCCAGAGCGAGUCAGUAAGGGAAACAUCCUACAUGUUGGCCACUUUGGAGUAGGGCAUGUCCUGUAAGGCGCUCAACCUGUUUGUGCGUUACCCUUGCAGCCUGGGUGCGGUGUGCAAGUCCCCAUAGGGAGGCCCCUGUGACCUCCAUAUUGGGUCACUAGUCCACAGCGUAGCCCGGACCACCACCACCCCGAAGCCCCUGUGUUUUGGGAGCCGAGUGCCUGCAGCCCCCACUGUGACUCGGUCUAGCUGGGAGGGCGUGUGCACGCGUGUGUCUGUGGCAGAUGCAUGGUGCUGAUUUCACUUAGAGAAAGUGAACACAUUCUCCCGUGCGUGGCCACCUCACUGGGCUGCUUAAUGUAACUAUGCAGCCUUCACUUAAAGCAUUCUUUGGAAGCUGCCUUUUAGGACUGCCUCCAGAGCCUGUGACAUUCUUUUAACUGUUCUGAAUAUCAGCAAAUCAUCCUGCUUUGUAGAUGGAUUGGAUCUUAGAGAAAUUGCUAGAAGUUGUUCAGGGAUGUUUGGUCCAAGAUAGAGUAUCAGUGAUAAAAUAAUUCAUUUUUUCUUAUGUGUCUGGCUCCAAGCACGUAUCCAAAGAUUUUUAGCAGAGCAGCAAAACUAGAAUUAGCCCUUUAAGGCGGCUCUUUGAAAGGAUGUCAUACUCAUCUGGAUUCUGAGGUGUGUUUUAAAAAAACUAGGCUUAUUAACGGUCCAGCACAUCUUUUUAUUUAUUUUUUCAAUGUUUAUUUUUGAGAGAGACCGAGCAUGAGUGGGGGAGGGGCAGAGAACCCAAAGCAAGCUCCAGGCCCAGAGAUGUCAGCACAGAGACUGACACGGGGCUCGAACCCACGGACUGCGAGAUCAUGACCUGAGCUGAAGCCAAACACUGAACCGACUGAGCCACCCAGGUGCCCCCCCAGCACAUCUUAUAUAAGAAUGUGCAGUGUAUCUUUCUCUGAAGUUCAUGCUGACAUCACGAGAUCAUAAAAUUCAUGUUGAGUUAUAAAACUAAAUAUGAGCCAAACAGUUACAUGUUUAGCUAGUAAGGAUUGGGUGCCACGUUGGGGUAACCGUUUGGUCAAAAUCAGAAUUUUAUGUCAUCUGAUCCACUUGCACUGAUACGGCACUGUCUAAAUUAUUAACUUCAAGCCGCAAAAUUUAUCCUGUGCUCUGCCCUGCGGAGGAUUAAUUUGGGAACCCGAGAGCUCUCUGCAGUGCUCAGCCUUUGGCAUCUUUUGCCUCAGGGCUGGAGGCUGCCAGAUGACAAAUACCAGUGGGGAACAGGAGGGGCUGGUGGCUCAGCAGGUUUCGCUGCGGUCACAGAUCUUGAGGCAGCUUUUUGUGCUGCGUGGAGGGGGAGCAGGCUACCUGCGCUGGCGGGACACAGACCCCUCGUCUGAGGGCACAUCUAGAGCCAGGAAGCAGUCCUCGAACCGACAGACAAGUGAGAUGGGUUUCUCGGAUGGUUGUGUUAUCUUGGGCACUUGCCUCCCUGACUUUCCUCAUCUCGAGACCCAAUUUAUAGGCUUUCUUGGGACUAAUAUUUUGCUGCGCACAUUUUAUAUAAAAGAAGAUCUCUGUGAGGACUGCCUAACCAGGGAAAGCUCUGAAAUGGCUUUGCGACCAGUGAACACCCAUAGCAUUUCCCGGACUAGCCAGGACUCUAACGGAAGGAGGAAGAAAGAGUCAGUUAGGUAUUGUCUCCAUGGUCAGGGACAAGAGGCUUUUGUACGUGCACGGGGAGUUUCCCUUUAACUGUAUGCAAGCCUGUUGGUGGAACGGCUGGCUCUAAUGUUUCAGAGCCGGGGUCGGGGAGGAUCCGGGUGUCCUGCCAGGGAGGACACUUGUGAGGUCCUCUUACAGUCAGGCUCCUGUUUCACAGGGUGGAGAUUUCAGCUCCACCAUUCUGCUGGGCCUUCAAGUCUGCACGAGCGUGUGUGCUCUGCCCUUGGGUGCCCUUGGCCACUUUUGGCCAGGAGAUGACUGCCCCCUGUGAGCAUCGGAGGGAAACCCCAUAGGGAUCACACCUGUAGGGAUUGGACCUAAGCUCUGCUGCCUUCCCAGUAAUUUUGUCCUUAUCAGAAAUGCAAGGCUCUGCUUUGUGACCAUUUGGUUGCUUAGUAGUGUUCAGAGACUACUCUGUCCCUCGUUGGCUUCAUCCCAAUCAAGUCUCCGAGCCUCAGAGGUGGGCCCUACCUGUCUGCCUCUCUGAAGCAAAGCCACCAUCCAGGGAGGGAGCUGCCUUUUGUGGGGCCGAAUCCCGGCCAAGAACCCCCCCUAGUGCCAUUAGAGUGGCCCUCGCCACUGCUGGUGAUCUAGUAACCCCCAUGCCUCUGGAAACUGAGUAUCCCUGGAAAGAUUAACGGGGAACGUUACUCACUGACGAGGCCUUGUAUCACUUUCUUUUUUUUCAUGGUUUUUAAAUUUGUAUUUCUCCGGGAAACUUCCUAGGCUCUCCUGUCGGUUGUUUUCUAGAGUCCCUUGAGGUUUGUCCCUUGCGAUUGUUGGCUUUUCCUGUGGCCUUUAGGAGCUAGAGCAGGUAUGGGAUAAGACACAUAAUUUCACUAGGAAGGAGUCUUGAGU